UACGGGGGGGGCAAGCGUUGUCCGGAAUUAUUGGGCGUAAAGAGCUCGUAGGCGGUUUGUCGCGUCGACUGUGAAAACCCGAGGCUUAACCUCGGGCCUGCAGUCGAUACGGGCAGACUAGAGUUCGGUAGGGGAGACUGGAAUUCCUGGUGUAGCGGUGAAAUGCGCAGAUAUCAGGAGGAACACCGGUGGCGAAGGCGGGUCUCUGGGCCGAUACUGACGCUGAGGAGCGAAAGCGUGGGGAGCAAACAGG
rnacentral:rRNA from 1 species